rnacentral:rRNA from 1 species
CCCUUAGAUGUUCUGGGCCGCACGCGUGCUACACUGAGUGGAUCAGCGGGUCAGGUUGCGCGAAAGCGUUUCCUAAUCUUUAAAUCCGCUCGUGAUGGGGAUUGACGGUUGCAAUUUUCUGUCAUGAACGAGGAAUACCUUGUAAGCGCGGGUCAUCAUCCCGCGCUGAAUACGUCCCUGCCCUUUGUACACACCGCCUGUCGCUACUACCGAUUGAAUGGCUUAGUGAGAUUUCCGGAUCGGCGUUGGGGAGCCGGCAACGGCACCCCUUGGCUGAGAAGUUACUCAAACUUGGUCAUUUAGAGGAAGUAAAAGUCAUAACA